CCCUUAGAUGUUCUGGGCUGCACGCGUGUUACAAUCGGGAGUACAACAAGAUUGCAAAUCCUAGUGGAUGAGUGGUUCUUCGAAAUUUUCUGAAGACUGGGAUAGUUGAUUGAAAUUAUUCAACUCGAACGAGGAAUUCCUUGUAAUUGUAAUUCAUUAUAUUGUAAUGAAUACGUCCCUGCCCUUUGUACACACUGCCCGUCGCUCCUACCGAUUGAACGAUCCGGUGAAUUAUUUGGGGUAGCUCUGGAAGUUGCAGAACUUCCUAUGUCACGAAAUUUUGUAAACCUUAUCGUUUAGAGGAAGGAAAAGUCGUAACA
rnacentral:rRNA from 1 species